UUUCGGUAUGUAAACUUCGUAAGAAUGGGAAGAAACAAAUGACGGUACCAUUUGUAAGCCCCGGCUAACUACGUGCCAGCAGCCGCGGUAAGACGUAGGGAGCGAGCGUUGUCCGGAUUCAUUGGGCGUAAAGGGUCCGUAGGCGGCUCAGUAAGUCAGGUGUGAAAUCUCCAGGCUCAACCUGGAGGGGCCACCUGAUACUGCUGUGGCUUGAGUCCAGUAGGGGAGCAUGGAAUUCCCGGUGUAGCGGUGAAAUGCGCAGAUAUCGGGAGGAACACCAGUGGCGAAGGCGGUGCUCUGGGCUGGAACUGACGCUGAUGGACGAAAGCGUGGGUAGCAAACAGGAUUAGAUACCCUGGUAGUCCACGCCGUAAACGUUGGGCACUAGGUGUGGGGUCUUAUCGACGGAUUCCGUGCCGUAGCUAACGCAUUAAGUGCCCCGCCUGGGGAGUACGGCCGCAAGGCUAAAACUCAAAGGAAUUGACGGGGGCCCGCACAAGCGGCGGAGCAUGUUGCUUAAUUCGAGGCAACGCGAAGAACCUUACCUGGGCUUGACAUGCAGGGAAAAGCCGUAGAGAUACGGUGUCCUUCGGGGCCCUGCACAGGUGGUGCAUGGUUGUCGUCAGCUCGUGUCGUGAGAUGUUGGGUUAAGUCCCGCAACGAGCGCAACCCUUGUCCUAUGUUGCCAGCGGGUAAUGCCGG
rnacentral:rRNA from 1 species